rnacentral:rRNA from 1 species
UGAGUACGAGAUGCUACGGCAUCGAAGCAGUCUAUGUCAUACUUCCAAGAAAAGCUUGCACUGUCAGAAACAGAUAAUGCCUGUACCAUAACCGACACAGGUGGGUAGGUAGAGUAUACUAAGGGGCGCGAGAUAACUCUCUCUAAGGAACUCGGCAAAAUGACUCCGUAACUUCGGGAGAAGGAGUGCCUUAUUUUUAAGGUUGCAAUAACAAGAUCCAAGCAACUGUUUACCAAAAACACAGGUCUCCGCUAAGUCGUAAGACGAUGUAUGGGGGCUGACGCCUGCCCAGUGCCAGAAGGUUAAAGAAGUCGGUUAGCAUUCGCGAAGCUGGUAACUGAAGCCCUGGUGAACGGCGGCCGUAACGAUAACGGUCCUAAGGUAGCGAAAUUCCUUGUCGGGUAAGUUCCGACCCGCACGAAAGGAGUAAUGAUUUGGAUACUGUCUCGGAGAGGGGCUCGGUGAAAUAGACUUGUCUGUGAAGAUGCGGACUACCUGCACCUGGACAGAAAGACCCUAUGAAGCUUUACUGUAACUUGAAAUUGAAAUUGGACUUUAUUUGCGCAGUGUAGGUGGGAGGCGUUGAAAAUAUUCUUGCGGGAAUAUUGGAGCCAUCAGUGAGAUACCACUCUUGUAAUGUUAGAUUUCUAACUUUAUAUCAUUAUCUGGUUAAAGAACAGUUUCAGGCGGGCAGUUUGACUGGGGCGGUCGCCUCCCAAAUGGUAACGGAGGCGCACAAAGGUUUCCUCUGAACGGGUAGAAAUCGUAUCUAGAGUGUAAAGGCAUAAGGAAGCUUGACUGUGAGACCUACAAGUCGAGCAGGGACGAAAGUCGGUCUUAGUGAUCUGACGGUGCUGAGUGGAAAGGCCGUCACUCAACGGAUAAAAGUUACUCUAGGAUAACAGGCUGAUCUCCCCCAAGAGUUCACAUCGACGGGGAGGUUUGGCACCUCGAUGUCGGCUCAUCGCAUCCUGGGGCGGUAGUACGUCCCAAGGGUUGGGCUGUUCGCCCAUGAAAGCGGUACGCGAGCUGGGUUCAGAACGUCGUGAGACAGUUCGGUCCAUAUCCGGUGUAGGCGUUAGAAUAUUGAGAGGAGCCUUCUUUAGUACGAGAGGACCGAGAAGGACAUACCUCUGGUGUACCAGUUAUCGUGCCAACGGUAAACGCUGGGUAGCUAUGUAUGGAGUGGAUAACCGCUGAAAGCAUCUAAGUGGGAAGCCCACCUCAAGAUAAGUAUUCUCAUC